GAUGAACGCUGGCGGCGUGCCUAAUACAUGCAAGUCGAGCGAACAGACGAGGAGCUUGCUCCUCUGACGUUAGCGGCGGACGGGUGAGUAACACGUGGAUAACCUACCUAUAAGACUGGGAUAACUUCGGGAAACCGGAGCUAAUACCGGAUAAUAUAUUGAACCGCAUGGUUCAAUAGUGAAAGACGGUUUUGCUGUCACUUAUAGAUGGAUCCGCGCCGCAUUAGCUAGUUGGUAAGGUAACGGCUUACCAAGGCGACGAUGCGUAGCCGACCUGAGAGGGUGAUCGGCCACACUGGAACUGAAACACGGUCCAGACUCCUACGGGAGGCAGCAGUAGGGAAUCUUCCGCAAUGGGCGAAAGCUUGACGGAGCAACGCCGCGUGAGUGAUGAAGGUCUUCGGAUCGUAAAACUCUGUUAUUAGGGAAGAACAAAUGUGUAAGUAACUAUGCACGUCUUGACGGUACCUAAUCAGAAAGCCACGGCUAACUACGUG
rnacentral:rRNA from 1 species